rnacentral:rRNA from 1 species
UGAGGGACGAGGUCUGUGGAUUGUAAACCUCUUUUGUUGGGGAAGAUAAUGACGGUACCCAACGAAUAAGCAUCGGCUAACUCCGUGCCAGCAGCCGCGGUAAGACGGAGGAUGCAAGCGUUAUCCGGAAUUAUUGGGCGUAAAGCGUACGUAGGCUGUUUUGUAAGUCUGUUGUCAAAGCGCGAGGCUCAACCUUGUAAAGGCAAUGGAAACUGCGAGACUAGAGAGAGAUAGGGGCAGGAGGAAUUCCAGGUGUAGCGGUGAAAUGCGUAGAUAUCUGGAAGAACACCAGUGGCGAAAGCGUCCUGCUGGAUCUCAACUGACGCUGAAGUACGAAAGCUAGGGGAGCGAAUGGGAUUAGAUACCCNNNNUAGUCAA